ensembl:lncRNA novel transcript
UACCCAAUCUCCCAUUCCUCAUUUCUCAUCUACCAUUAGAGAAAGGCCAGCGAAAGAGAACUUCCGGGUAGUGGGUCUGUUCCUCAGUAAUUCCUCAAGCUCUUCUCAGUAUAUGCAACUGGUUCCCCAGCAGUAGUUACCUGGGCUCUUAAAUUUUCUGGUCUCCUUCAUCCAUCUUUAGGCAUGAGAGUUAUGCACUGUCUGGGACCAGCAUUUGACCCUGCAAUGCUGAGGCUAUGUAAUUCAUUGGGACAAUGUGCCGGUUUGGCAGCGUUCGUUAUCUGGGUUGUGGAAUCACAGCAUGGCCAUUAUGAGUUAUGGAGCGAGGAGGGUGUCAUCUUAUGCUGACAUUACAUGUUGUGGUGUUGCAAGGCAGAAAAGAUGCUGGACUAUUGGUUGGAACAAUAAAAAAAAAAAA